CUACAUAUCUGCAUAUACUAUAUAUAGAGUGUGGGUGUAUGUCUCUGUGUAAUAACAUAAUAUACAUACAUUUUUAACUGGCGGGGAACACAGAGAUACAAAGAAGAAAAUAAAAGCAGAAAUGAAGAAAAAAGGAGAAAGGAGAAAAGCAUGCACUUGGAGACUAAGACCAGGAGAUAGAAACAGAGAAGCAAGACAAGGCGCAGUGGCUCACACUUGUAAUUCCAGCACCUUAGGAGGACGAGGCAGGAGGAUGGCUUGAGACCAGGAGUUCGCGACCAGCCUGGCAACAUAGUGGGAACUGAUUUUAUGACCAAAAAAAUGUUUUUUAAUUAAAAAGAGAGAGAGAGAAGAAAGAAAGAAAGAAAAGAAAAAAGAAAGAGAGAGAGAAAGAAGAAAGAAAGAAAAAGAGAAAGAAAGAAAAAACAAGGACAAUGAUAUACAGAGAGAAAAAUGAAGACUGAGAGCAAAGAAGAGACUGAGAUUGAUGGAAUCACGAGGUCUCCCUCCUUUAGCCUGGAAACUCCACAAGAGCAAGAAUUUUGUCCAUUUUUGUUCAUUACAUAUCGCCAACUCCUUGAGCAGUGCCUGGCACUCAGUAGGUGUUUUGCUCUAUGUUGGCAAGAAACCAGGCUGGACAGGGAGAGUGUCUGCAGUUGCCUAAGUGAACACUAGGUGACAGUAUUUAUAAGCCCUGGAGCUUCCAGGCUCCAAGGUCCCAGAGAUGGCGGUGGAGGAUUUGCCGCCACUGACCUCUGACUUUCAGGAUCUCUUCCUCGGGGCUCAGCCCUGCCUUUCCCUGCACAAGCCUUGGGCGAUGAAUGACCUUUCCGCCUGAGACACCCUCUUCACUCUCCUUCACCAGCCUGCCCAGUUAAACAACUCUUUGUCCCUGGCCCCUUCCUGCUGGGCCCCGAGGCACCUGGGUUCUUUCCAGGCCCGGAGAUGGGGCUGCGACAGAGGUGGUGCAGCUGGGACAAGGCCAAGGAAAAAUCCUGGAGACUCUGGAAUCAGUUCUUCCAGUGAUUGAGACCAAGGGUGAGUCACAAGAAGCCCUGAGGCCCUGAGUCACCUCGCCCUCCCCCCUUGGCCCCUCCCUGGGCUGGAGGCAGCUGGCUGAGGAGUGAAGCAGUUUCCUAGGACUGACCCCUGCAUCCCAGGACUGCAGUUUGAAGGCAGGUGCCCUUCCCACUGUAACCCCAUCACUGCCACCCAGGCAUGUCCAUGCCCAUCCUUUGCUGUUUUUCUCUUUCAGUCAUGGCCUAUUUGGAGACAAAAUUUCUCUGUGCUCUAACUUCCGUGUCUUGAUUGUGUUUUCCGGUUUCUCUGCACCUGUGGGUCUCUUUGAUUUUUUUUAAUACAUGCCCCCACCAUCCCUGGCUGAAUGCCUCGAGGUCUCUCUGAUUAUCUCUCUCUCCCUCUGUGUCAGUCUCUGUCUCCGUUUUUCACAAGUGCCUGAACUGGGGCACAGAUGCCAUGGCAUGGCCGCAGCUGGAGCGCUAUUUAGUGGCUUCUGACCCUUGGGUGGCCACAGUCUCUGGAUCACUGGCCCUCAACCCCUGAGUGGGACUGGGGUAGAACCGGAAGGAACCAGGCUGUCCGUAGAUGUGCCAGUGAACAGCAGAGAGAAACUGAGGCAGAGACAAGCAUAGAGAGGCCCGGAGAGAGAGAGAGAGACCCAAGAGGAGACCAGGAGGCAGGGAGAGAGUGAAACAGAGACGGAGAGAAACACCGAUUCAGCAAGAGACAGACAAAAACAGAGGGCCCUAGAGACGGAGAGAUGGAGACAGAGUGAGACACGAUGACAGAGACACAGGCAAUGAUGAACACAGAGAGAGACAUGACAGAGAGACAGUGACGGGGAAAGAAGGAAACAGAGGAGCAGAGAGGGACACGAAGAUGGAGAAAGGGACAGAGCGAUGAGAGAGACACAGAGAGGCUAAGAGAGGCAGAGACAGAGAGACAGAGUGAAGAGAGACAGAGAGAGACAAAGGUACCAGGAGAGAAGAACAGAGACAGAGAUAAAGACAAACCUGGCCAGGCACGGUGGCUUACGCCUGUAAUCCCAGAACUUUGGGAGGCCGAGGCGGGUGGAUCACCUGAGGUCAGAAGUUCACGACCAGCCUGGCCAACAUGGUGAAACCUCGUCUCUACUAAAAAUACGAAAAUUAGCUGGGUGUGGUGGUGCACACCUGUAAUAUCAGCUACUCGGGAGGUUGAGGUAGGAGAAUUGCUUGAACCUGGGAGGUGGAGGUUGC
rnacentral:lncRNA from 1 species